rnacentral:rRNA from 1 species
AUGAAUGCUGGCGGCGUGCCUAACACAUGCAAGUCGAGCGGUAACGGGUCUAGUUUACUAGAUGCUGACGAGCGGCGGACGGCUGAGUAACGCGUGGGAAUGUGCCCCAAAGUGAGGAAUAACUGCCCGAAAGGGUAGCUAAUGCCGCAUAUGAUCUUCGGAUUAAAGGAUUUAUCCGCUUUGGGAGCAGCCCGCGUUCGAUUAGGUAGUUGGUGAGGUAAUGGCUCACCAAGCCCACGAUCGAUAGCUGGUCUGAGAGGAUGACCAGCCAGACUGGAACUGAGACACGGUCCAGACUCCUACGGGAGGCAGCAGUGAGGAAUCUUCCACAAUGGGCGAAAGCCUGAUGGAGCAACGCCGCGUGCAGGAUGAAGGCCUUAGGGUUGUAAACUGCUUUUAUAAGUGAAGAAUAUGACGGUAACUUAUGAAUAAGCACCGGCUAACUACGU